GAUGAACGCUGGCGGCGUGCCUAAUACAUGCAAGUCGAGCGAACAGACGAGGAGCUUGCUCCUCUGACGUUAUCGGCGGACGGGUGAUUAACACUUGGAUAACCUACCUAUAAGACUGUGAUAACUUCGGGAAACCGGAGCUAAUACCGGAUAAUAUAUUGACCCGCAUGGUUCAAUCGUUAAAUACGGUCUUUCUGUCACUUAUAGCUUGAUCCGCGCCGCAUUAGCUAGUUGGUAAGGUAACGGCUUACCAAGGCAACGAUGCGUAGCCGACCUGAGAGGGUGAUCGGCCACACUGGAACUGAGAAACGGUACAGACACCUACGGGAGGCAGCAGUAGGGAAUCUUCCGCAAUGGGCGAAAGCCUGACGGAGCAACGCGGCGUGAGUGAUGAAGGUCUUCGGAUCGUAAAACUCUGUUAGUAGGGAAGAACAAAUGUGUAAGUAACUGUGCACAUAUUGACGGUACCUAAUCAGAAAGCCACGGCUAACUACGUG
rnacentral:rRNA from 1 species